AUGGGAGCAGCGGUCAGGACCAGCUGGACUAGUCCUGGCGAGGGUGACAUCCCUGUAUCCAGAAGGAAGAUGAAAGCCCUGAUAAAGGUCAGAUUGCAAUUAAAUUGUAAACCUAAUUCUUUUACUCUUGCUAUUGCAAGACUUUUGUAUAUUGGGGUCAUAAAUCAGCUAGUAAAGUUUAUCCACCCUAAGGUGUGGGACAGAUGUACUAAAACCCUUGCCAAAGAGACCUGGAAGGCGGCAAGAAACUGUCUGUUGGCCACCCCGAAAUUUGGGGUCAGAGCGGCCACUCAGAUUUUACAGCCCCCAGGCGAGAGUGGCUCAGCUGAGCCAAAGGGGACACAAGAGGGCGAUGCAUCCCCUCAAUCCCCGAACCCUGAUCUGCUCUCAAACGAACAGCAGAAAGCAGGAGAUUUUUGGAGAAAGUUAACAGAAGAAGCCAGAGGUGUUGCAGACAAAGUCAGGGGGGAAACAUCCCCCCAGGGGCUUAAAAAUGGCGCUGAGCAAAAAGACAUACAGCGGGAAAGGAAUGUCCUUAUUGAAAACAAAGAACAAAUGCUGGCAUUGAGAGAUGAACACAGUCGGGAGGUUGGGAGAGAUAAGGAAUGUGAAGAAGGAUGCGGGGAAGGUGUAAAGAGGGAUAGGGAAAAGAAUGUAGAGAAUGGGGGAGAGAGGGGGAGCAGAGGGAGGAACAGAGCGUGGGGUGAAGGGCGGAGUGAAAGGUGGGGUGAAAGGCGGAGUGGAGGGUGGACUGAAGGGCGGGGAGAGCCAGGAGGGAGGGAACAGCCUGCCCACAGGGGUGGUAGGUGGGGCUGGAGCCCAACAAAAAGGCACGGGAAACAGGAAGUAGCUAGCCAGUCGAGCUCUGACUCUGAUCGAGAUACUAGUGACGAAUGGUCAGAGGCUGAGUCCUCAGAAGAGGAAACAAUAAAGAUAAACAAGAAUAUCCCCCUCCGCAUUAAAAAAGAACUGAGAGAGGAUACCCCUCUCACAGAAUGGGGUCAGAUAAGAGCAGAAUGUGCCACCUGGGUCCCCCCAGUAUUCCCAGUCCAGGUGUCUGAGGGGGGACAGAGAGUUUACUCACCAAUAAAUCCUAAAGAAGUUAAAACAAUUGUUAAAGCAAUUUCAGAAAAAGGGCUUAAUUCUGCCAUGGUCACCUCCCUUAUCGAUGGUCUUUUUGGGGGUGACGACCUGCUCCCUUUUGAUAUAAAACACACUUGCAGAUUGUUUUUCGAUGGGGCAGGGAUGAUUGUUUUUAAACAAGAUUGGGAAGACAACUGUGCCAAAUACCUAGCCCAAAUAGGGGCAGACCAUCCGCUACACGGCUCCAGCCUGCCGCGGUUAAUGGGCACAGACCCAGCCAUGGUUACACCUCAGGCACAAGCCCAGGGUAUGCAGGCCCACGAAGUUAUGACAACCACUCAUGCGGCCAGAGAAGCUAUUUGCUCGGCCUCUAGAGUUGUUGCUAAGCCAUCACCAUGGGCUACCAUAAAGCAAAACAAAAGCGAGAGCUUUACACAAUUUGUAGACGGCCUUCAGGCAGCUGUUGACUCCUUGGCCCUGCCCCCAGAGGCAAAAGGCCCAGUCAUGGCAGACUGCUUGCAUCAACAAUGCAAUUCGACAACCAAGGAAAUCCUCCAAUCGUUACCGGCAGGGGCAAAUAUCGCAGAGAUGAUUAAGCAUGUUGUGAGGGAGGAACAGGUAGGAUUCAAACUGCAGUCUGCACAGCAAUCGCUAACACGAUGGCGUGUUUCAAAUGCGGUCAGGCAGGUCAUGUUGCUGCAAAUUGCAAAGGGGGGGGGCCAUAGCAGCGUCCACCUCACAGCAGAACCGAUUUAA
ensembl:lncRNA